GCCGCGCAGCCCCAGAUCGGCCACCGGGAAUUGCCGGCCUCCGCGCGUCCUCCGGAAGCUUCCCCUCGCGCUGCCCCAGCCCCGCGUGCCCGCUCGGUUCGCCAGCCCUCGAGCGCGCCGCGGCCGUGGGGAGGAUGAGCCGUAUCUACCACGAUAGCGCCCUCCACAACAAGGCGGUGCGCAGCGCGCGGCUGCCGGGGGCCUGGGACCCAGCCGCCCACCAGCGGGGAGAUGGCGUCCUGCUGGAGGGAGAAUUGCUCGAUGUAUCCCGGCACAGCAUCUCAGAUGCCCACGGCAGGAAGGAGCGCUACUACGUGCUGUAUAUCCGGCCAAGUCGCAUCCAUCGCCGUAAGUUCGACUCCAAGGGAAACGAAAUUGAGCCCAACUUCAGCGCCACCAGGAAGGUGAACACGGGCUUCCUCAUGUCCUCUUACAAGGUGGAAGCCAAGGGUGACUCGGACAGACUGACGCUCGAGGUGCUGAAGGGGCUGGUGAAUAAGCCGGAGCUGCUCGCGCUGACAGACAGCCUCACCCCCGCUGAGACAGUGGCCUUCUGGAUGCCCGAGUCAGAGAUGGAGGCCAUGGAGCUUGAACUCGGGGCUGGGGUACGGCUGAAAACUCGAGGCGACAGCCCCUUCCUGGAUUCAUUAGCCAAACUUGAGGCUGGAACAGUGACCAAGUGUAAUUUCGCUGGAGACGGGAAGACGGGAGCAUCCUGGACGGACAACAUCAUGGCCCAAAAGUCUUCGGGAGCGGCUGCAAGCGUUGGUGUGGUUUAUCUCUUGGCAGGAGUUUUGUAUGGACUGGUUGUGGCUGGGUGGUAGGAGAAAGAGACAGCAACUUAACUUUACUCCCAGCUUUGGUGGAAUUCCUGAGUGUGAGCCUGAUGAAAAGCCCCUCAAGGAUGACUGAGGUCAAGGAGAGAUGGGGUACCUCCAGGACCCACUGGCACCAUUGAGCAUUUCUUCCAUCAACUUUCACUCUGGAGCUCAGGGGACCAGGUCCACCAAACCUUACCUGGUUCUUCCCUACAGCCGCCGUGAAAUAUACUCUUCGAACAAGCUCUGCUAAAAUCAAAUCUCAGGCCCCGAUGUUAACCGUGGGGCGCGAGGCUGUGGCUCGUGUAGGGUCCCUCCCUGGAUGUGAAUCUAGCCUUCCCCAGACAUUUUCAUGGUGGCCCUUGCCCUGAGUGGCAGCCUUGUUUGUGGAGGCAGGCACAGGGCGAGCCCCCCUGGGGCAAUCAGAAGAUCUGGACUUGCUGCAGAACUGGGGGGAAUCCCUCAUCUGUACGCAGAAUGGCUCUGAGAAGUUAGCGGGGCCUCCUCCUUCUGUCCUAUCUCCUGCUUUCCUCCUGCAGCUGCCCUCCUCCCAGUCCUCUGUGCUGGGGGCCUCUGCCCUCCUGCUCAGGCCUCCUCUGCCCUCCUGCCGUUCUCGGCCCCCAGCACUGCCAGUUCUUUUUCUUCCUCUGGUUCUCUGCUACCUUGGGGGUUCCUGUCUCCCGACCUCCCUUGGCUGUUUUCCUGGGGAUGAUCUUUUUACAGAGGCUGAGCUCGUUCAUAGGUAUGGCCAGCUGGUCUCCUUCUCUCUGACUCCUUCCACCAGGCCACAGGCCACAUUUUGGAUAACCCCUUUUUUUCUUGUUUUGUACCUUGAGAAUUUUUUAUGAAUGAGUAAAAUUUAAGGAAAGGA